CUCAGACUUCUCCGGCAAAGAGCCUGACUCUGGCAAUGGCAGCAUUUGGGGUCCCCUGGGUAGGAGAGAGAGAGAGCACGUGGCUUGCCCAUUCCCUCUUAAGGCUCCCCAGAAGGCUUCUGUGCGGCGCUGGAAGGGGUGAAAGUACUCAGGGUAAUUGCCCUCCCAAAAUAGCUAGCUGGAAAUGAUCCCCUUAGGGCCUCUGCGAGCCAGGCAGGAAGCUAACUCGGGGCUCUGCAAAGCACCAGGGGAAAGACCGCCGCUGUAGGACCUUCAUGCUGUCUCUUCCUCACCCACCUCGGAGUGUCCUCUCUCAGGACUCCUCUGUUUACUUCAUUUAGGUGUUUCCAGGGGACUGUUCCUUUGUGCUGCGGACUGUGAAGUCCCUCCAUGGAUGGAAAUGAGCUGGGAACCGCCUGCCUGUGAGACAAAUGAAGCCGCCACUGCCCCUUGAGUGUGCUUCUGACCGACUCCUACGCUG